UACGUAGGGUGCGAGCGUUGUCCGGAAUUACUGGGCGUAAAGAGCUCGUAGGUGGUUUGUCGCGUUGUUCGUGAAAUCUCACGGCUUAACUGUGAGCGUGCGGGCGAUACGGGCAGACUUGAGUACUGCAGGGGAGACUGGAAUUCCUGGUGUAGCGGUGGAAUGCGCAGAUAUCAGGAGGAACACCGGUGGCGAAGGCGGCAUCCUGGACCGGCAUUGACGCUGAUGAGCGAAAGCUAGGGGAGCAAACAGG
rnacentral:rRNA from 1 species